rnacentral:lncRNA from 1 species
AUCAAGGAUGGCCAGGGGCUCACAAGGAGACAGGGCAAAUACCUAAUGAGGCCCAUAGUCACUGCUGGCUCAGAAGUCACAGGAGGCUUUAUUAAGGCAGGGCAUUUGCUUUGUGUCCUAAAGUGUAAUGGGACCUGAACGGGGAGAGAUGGGGAAGGUUGGAGAGAGCAGCUGAAGGAAAGGCAAAGAAGUAAGAAGAGGUAGAGAAUGUUCCCAAGGAGUGGAUACAGGUUCCCUAGAACACAGGCUAAAUAAAAGCGGGGUGGGAUAGAGUGGGUCCUAGAAGGCAGCAGGGACCAGAUUCUCACAGGUGCCAACGCCAGGCUGAGCAUUGUUACGCAGAGUCAAUGGUAAAUCUCCUGACGCUGUCUAUACCCCAGAGGGUUGCAGAGUGACGCAAUGUUUCAGGCUCGGCUGUCACUUCCUCCUCUGCCAGGAAAGUUAUGAGAGUGAAGAUGCCGGUCGUGAGAGGGAGCUCUCGAUGGAAAGUGAAUGCACUGUCCCGGGUGGAGGGCACCGUCCACCCUAGCGGUCACCUCUGGCUGUCUCAGCUUCACUCACUGGUGCCAUCCAGACUCCGUUCCAAAGAAGCAAAGGGAAAUGUCUAAGAAGCUGGACUCCAGCAGUGGCUAUGCCUCGGUCCUGGCUUCAAAGGUUGCAUUCCACAGUUGCUGCCUUUCUUCCUUUAACAAAAACCUGGUCAAAUGAGAGGAUAAAUUGCCUCCUGCAGCCUCAUAACACUUUACUGAGGUAAAACCUCUUCAAGAAUAAUCACAGGGCAUUUUCUCAGUGCUCCACUUCCGCCAGUGACACCAAAGGUGGCAGGGAAUCCCAGGGGCUGUGUUGAGUCCCCACGCCAUUCACUACAACGAAAAGCAUUUGGAACAUUGCAUAUCCACCUCCAAAAAAUAAGACUGAUUCAAAACAACCCCAAUAAAAUAUCGGCUUCUUUCCCCCUAAGAGCCAGGGACAGGCUCCAACCCUGAGCCCAGAGCUGGAGACUUUGACCUUUCCAAAGCCUUGUCAGUUGGUCACCGGGUGGAAGGACAAGAGGCACACAGCUGAGGGAGCAGCCAGAGCCUGAGCUCAGGGGACGGAGGGGCACAGCUAUAGGAACCCAUAUCCUGUUCGGUGCUCCAGUGAUGCUCCCACCCCUGGCCAUCCCACACCCCAAGGAUCCAUCUAGCUCCAGGUAAUCCCAAGUAUUCUGGGUAUCACAAAUACAAAAUAAAAACAUCAAGCCUAAUAAGAAGCAGCUGAGAAAACCAAUUACUACCCAUGACCUCUUCCUUUUCCUCCCUUUAAAUCUUCCUUGGAAGUGCAGUUGUUUAGUAAUGAUGGCAUUUUCUUUCACCUUCUCUGCUCUUCCCUGUUCAGUCAUCUGCAAGAUUAAAGGGGUGAUGUGGUGGUCUGAAAAUAUCCCCCAAAUAUUCAUGUGUUGAAAACACCGUCCUCAAAUUCAUGUGUCCAUGCUAUUUGGAUGUGAGAGAAUAGUAGGAAAUGCUGAUAAUAAAUGAGGUAAUAAGGGUGAGGCCCCCAGGACGGCAUUAGUGGCUUUGUGAGAAGAGGAGGAGCGAUCUGAGCUGGCACACUUGCUCUGUCUCACCAAGUGACACCCUCUACAGCAUCAUGAUGCAGCAAGAACGGGCCCUCACCAGAGGCUGGGCAUGUGUUGGCUCCUUGCUCUUGGUCUUCCCAGCUUCCAG